rnacentral:rRNA from 1 species
UACGUAGGCAGCAAGCGUUGUUCGGAAUUACUGGGCGUAAAGAGUGUGUAGGCGGUGCUCCAAGUGUGGUGUGAAAUCUCCCGGCUUAACUGGGAGGGUGCAUUAGAAACUGGAAUGCUAGAGGAUGGGAGAGGUAAGCGGAAUUCCUGGUGUAGCGGUGAAAUGCGUAGAUAUCAGGAGGAACACCUGUGGUGUAGACAGCUUACUGGACCAUUUCUGACGCUGAGACACGAAAGCGUGGGUAGCAAACAGG